UCCGCUGUGGUGUAAUGGGUAGCACGAGGGUUUUUGGUGCCCUUUGUCCAGGUUCGAGUCCUGGCAGCGGAG
rnacentral:tRNA from 1 species